rnacentral:rRNA from 1 species
GGAUAGCGGAGAAAUUCCAAUCGAACUCGGAGAUAGCUGGUUCUCCUCGAAAUAGUUUUAGGACUAGCCUUGUUUAGUAGUAUGUGGGGGUAGAGCACUGAAUGAGCUAGGGGCCAAACCAGGUUACUGAACUCUAUCAAACUCCGAAUACCAUGUACGUAAGAACAGGAGUCAGACUGCGGGAGCUAAGUUCCGUGGUCAAAAGGGAAAGAGCCCAGAUCGUCAAUUAAGGUCCCAAAGAUAUAGUUAAGUGGAAAACGAUGUGAUUUUGCGUAAACAACCAGGAUGUUGGCUUAGAAGCAGCCAUUCAUUUAAAGAGUGCGUAAUAGCUCACUGGUCGAGUGGAGUUGCGCGGAAAAUUACCGGGGCUAAACUAUACACCGAAAUUGCGGAUUCAUGAGUAAUCAUGAGUGGUAGAGGAGCAUUCUAUAGUAGGACGAAGGUAGAUCGAAAGGACUACUGGACGAGAUAGAAGAGAGAAUGCCGGAAUAAGUAGCGAAAGCAUGGUGAGAAUCCAUGCCAUCGAAAGUCUAAGGUUUCCUGGGGAAGGUUCGUCCGCCCAGGGUAAGUCGGGACCUAAGGAGAGGCCGAAAGGCGUAUCUGAUGGACAGCAGGUAGAAAUUCCUGCACCACCGAUAUACUUAAAAAAUGCAAGGGACACAGUAGUGGAAGGAAAGCGAGGAAGAGGAAAGACUCGUAUCGAAAGAUAUAGUGAAAAAAUAAGUAACGAAUUUCCAAGAAGCACACUGGCGAGAAAAGCUUGUAGGAAUUGUAUAAAGGUGCCCGUACCGCAAACCGACACAGGUAGAUGAGGAGAGGAUCCUAAGAUGAGCGAGAGAAGCAUUGUUAAGGAACUCGGCAAAUUGACCCCGUAACUUAGGGAGAAGGGGUGCCAAAGUAAAAUUUGGUCGCAGAGAAGAGGCCCAAGCAACUGUUUAACAAAAACACAGGUUUCUGCUAAAUCGAAAGAUGAAGUAUAGGAGCUGACGCCUGCCCAGUGCUGGAAGGUUAAGGGGAAGAGUUAGAUGUAAGUCGAAGCUUAGAACCAAAGCCCCAGUGAACGGCGGCCGUAACUAUAACGGUCCUAAGGUAGCGAAAUUCCUUGUCAGGUAAGUUCUGACCCGCACGAAAGGCGUAAUGAUUUGGGCGCUGUCUCGACAAUGUACUCGGCGAAAUUGUAGUACUAGUGAAGAUGCUAGUUACCUGCGACAAGACAGAAAGACCCCAUGGAGCUUUACUGUAGCUUGAUACUGGGUUUCGAUAAUUUAUGUACAGGAUAGGUGGGAGGCGAAGAAGCAAUUGCGCCAGCAGUUGUGGAGUCAUCCUUGGGAUACCACCCUUAAGUUAUUGAAAUUCUAACCUGUAGUCCUGAGCGGGCUAGGGGACAAUGUCAGGCGGGCAGUUUGACUGGGGCGGUCGCCUCCAAAAGAGUAACGGAGGCGCGCAAAGGUUUCCUCAGCGCGGACAGAAAUCGCGCGAAAGAGUGCAAAGGCAGAAGGAAGCUUAACUGAGAGACUGACAAGUCGACCAGAUACGAAAGUAGGUCUUAGUGAUCCGGCGGUAGUGAGUGGAAAUGCCGUCGCUCAACGGACAAAAGUUACCCUGGGGAUAACAGGCUUAUCUCCCCCAAGAGUUCACAUCGACGGGGAGGUUUGGCACCUCGAUGUCGGCUCAUCACAUCCUGGAGCGGAAGUACGUUCCAAGGGUUGGGCUGUUCGCCCAUUAAAGUGGUACGCGAGCUGGGUUCAGAACGUCGUGAGACAGUUCGGUCCUUAUCUGUCGCAGGCGAAGGAUAUUUGAGGGGAGUUGACCUUAGUACGAGAGGACCAGGUUGAACUUACCAAUGGUGUAUCAGUUGUCGUACCAACGGCACGGCUGAGUAGCUAAGUAGGGAAGGGAUAAACGCUGAAAGCAUCUAAGUGUGAAGCCCACCCCAAGAUAAGAUAUCCCAUACCGUAAGGUAGUAAGAUUCCACGUAGACUAUGUGGUAGAUAGGUUGGAGGUGUAAGUGCAGUAAUGCAUUAAGCUGACCAAUACUAAUAAAUCGAGGGCUUAACCAC